GAUGAACGCUGGCGGCGUGCCUAAUACAUGCAAGUCGAGCGAACGGACGAGAAGCUUGCUUUUCUGAUGUUAGCGGCGGACGGGUGAGUAACACGUGGAUAACCUACCUAUAAGACUGGGAUAACUUCGGGAAACCGGAGCUAAUACCGGAUAAUAUUUUGAACCGCAUGGUUCAAAAGUGAAAGACGGUCUUGCUGUCACUUAUAGAUGGAUCCGCGCUGCAUUAGCUAGUUGGUAAGGUAACGGCUUACCAAGGCAACGAUGCAUAGCCGACCUGAGAGGGUGAUCGGCCACACUGAAACUGAGACACGGUCCAGACUCCUACGGGAGGCAGCAGUAGGGAAUCUUCCGCAAUGGGCGAAAGCCUGACGGAGCAACGCCGCGUGAGUGAUGAAGGUCUUCGGAUCGUAAACCUCUGUUAUUAGGGAAGAACAUAUGUGUAAGUAACUGUGCACAUCUUGACGGUACCAAAUCAGAAAGCCCCGGCUAACUACGU
rnacentral:rRNA from 1 species